rnacentral:rRNA from 1 species
ACGCACGCUGGCGGCGUGCUUAACACCUGCCAGUCGAACGGAAAGGCCCUGCUUUUGUGGGGUGCUCGAGUGGCGAACGGGUGAGUAACACGUGAGUAACCUGCCCUUGACUUUGGGAUAACUUCAGGAAACUGGGGCUAAUACCGGAUAGGAGCUCCUGCUGCAUGGUGGGGGUUGGAAAGUUUCGGCGGUUGGGGAUGGACUCGCGGCUUAUCAGCUUGUUGGUGGGGUAGUGGCUUACCAAGGCUUUGACGGGUAGCCGGCCUGAGAGGGUGACCGGCCACAUUGGGACUGAGAUAGGGCCCAGACUCCUACGGGAGGCAGCAGUGGGGAAUAUUGCACAAUGGGCGGAAGCCUGAUGCAGCAACGCCGCGUGCGGGAUGACGGCCUUCGGGUUGUAAACCGCUUUCGCCUGUGACGAAGCGUGAGUGACGGUAAUGGGUAAAGAAGCACCGGCUAACUACGUG